rnacentral:lncRNA from 1 species
CUGGCCAAUGAAGAGCAAGGAGCAGAGGAAGCAGAGCAAGAGGGCAAGGAGCAGAGUGUAGGUGAGGUCCCAGUUGUUGGCUUUGACAAUGGCAGUGUCCCCGUUCUUAGAGAAGACACCAAGGACCAAGGCUGUGACCAGAGUGAAAAGCAGAGCUUCAUUGAAACUGCCUGACAACUCAUUAUUAUCAUUAGUUUUUAAUGUUUACUGUUUUACUGUGAUUUUAUAAUAUGUUGGGGCUAAAUAUUCCUGGUAAGGAAAGCCGCAAUAGAUCUGGCAAUGGUCAGAAGUCCCAAGCCCCCUAGACCCAAUAAAUCAUUAUAAGACACCAUUCAUUGCAUUCCACUAUUAUUUCUUCUGCUCAGGUGCGCAUGGCAAAGCUCGGAUGUGGAGGAGCAAUAAAGAGCCAUAUAGCACAAAAAAUGACUGGUAUGAAGGAGCAGCCAAGAAGAAUAGAGUUGGUCAGUCUUUCCCCCACCCAUUUCCUCAUUCUGGAUCCUGGUUUCGUGGCCAUGAAAACCAGAACCACCAUUAUCGUUUUUGCUCGUAUCCAUGAAACCACCACCAAGAGGGUUAUUCCAAAUGCAGUUUGUCCUGUUUAGUAGGUUACUAUGUAAGGCCAGCCAAGGAACAGCAAGGAGCAGAGAAAGCAGAGCAUCAGGGAGGAAGAGCAGAAUGUAGGUGAGGUCCAAAUUCUGGCUUUGACAAUGGGAGCAUUCCAGUGCUUAGGGAAGACUCCAACACCAAAGACAAACUCGGAGAAAAAGGCAGAGCCAAAAAAUAUCAAGUGAUCCCCAUAAGUUCUGAGAAUGAGAGAAUAUUGGGUUCUUGGGAAUGCAUUGAACUCAAUCCUUGUUUGGAAAUUGAUCUGGGCAUUUGAAGCAAUGGUCCAUGUCUGAAAAAAUGAAAUGAUACAUUAACUUCCAGAUUUCUUUGAAUAUUUAUUAUCCUGGGCAUAAUGAGGUGAAUGUAUUAAUAUUAUGUCAUUGAAAUAUUUAUUUUGUUCAGAUGCAUAAAUCUGAUCCAUUAGAUGAGGAGAAACUAAUAGAAAUAUAUAGUGAAAUGCCACAGAUGUAUACAUGAGACCCAUGAGAGCAGCAAAAUAACCAUACAACUGUGAUGGGAUAGAAUCAGGCCAAAUCUUGAUUGACAGCAGCAGGCAGGUUAAGGGUUGGCAUGGUACUGAGUCCUAGGAUCAGUCCCUCAUUCCACAAACAUGUUGAUAGAAUGGAUCUGCCGGGUUUGGACCACCCCAAACCUGUUCUAUGGGAGUCAGCCAGUGUUGAACCUUCCCACGGUUCAAGCCAAGCAAACCAGGUCUCACUGGGCAACCAGGGUGCAGAUUCCAACCAGGCAGAUACCCCAACCCAAGUUUGGGAGUGCUGUGGUCAGCCCCCCAAGCCCCUUAUAGAUCCCCCUAUACUAUAUUGAUUCCCCCCAUACUAUGUUGAUCCAUUGCCAAUUCUGCCACAAGGGAGGACCUACUGUGGUCCAACUCUCGCCAACCUGCCCCCACAACCAAUCCAAAAGGCCUGAACAAAAAUCUUCCAACAAAUGUCACUUUCUAACAGGUGAACUCCAGCCAGAUGAAACAAGUCUGCAAGCCCAACUUGAUCAGGGGGUGACAGAUUACCAGGCCCCCUGUGCCAUUACAACGCGUGCCUCUGCCUUGGUGAGCCGCCAUUGUCCCAUAUCCACCAUCUGCGAGGUCCAAGGUCCCCUCCAAAGGCAUUGUUGCAACCAAUAUGACCAUGUGAUGCUCACUUUCAUGUGGCUGUCAGACAAUCGAACAAUGUCUUUAUAAAUGGCCAACUCUAAGUCAAUAGUCUCCCAUGUACACAGAUAGAACUUGCUAAGCUGAGUGACUAGCAGCUUAGCCCAAAGAGCUGGAUGCAGAGCUGGUGAGACCACAGCUUCAACCCUGCAUGUUGUUCUGCCCAGAACACUACACUGUGCCCAAUGAUCCACACCUGUUUACAGCCUGAAAAAGAAGUGGAAUUACUGGCAGCAUGGUGCCCCUAGGGAGGUUAGGACCUAGCUUUGGAAUGCACCCAAUUACCAAUGGACCACGACCACUAUCUGCUCAUCACUAAGCCCCCAGGAAGCAGCAGAAGUAGCAGCGCCAAUUCGAAAAGAGUGAGCCCCAUACUCCUUAGGGGGCUGCCCCAAGGCCCCCAGGGCUACUCCGAGUAACCCAGCCACCUGAAACCUGGUUAACCCUGGUCCAUUCUGGUGAUUGAACAGCUGGCUGCCAACAGUGGGCUGCAAGUUCAAAAACCCACGCAUGUCCCAGAGAGGACAUGGGCCACAACAGGACAGAGUCAGAGCAAGAUGCUAGUGCCCCAUUGAUCAGUCUUUGAACAUUUAGGAACCCUGAUAACUCUGAGUCAUAUUCCGGCAUUGCAGGGGGUUGGACCAGGUGGCCAAUGAGGCCCCUUCCAACUCUUAAUUCUAUGAAUCUGUGAAUCUGUACAGCUGACAUCACGGAGGCAUAAGGCUGCAUCGGAAACAUCAGUUUUGAAGUGGCAGCGUAGUCACUCUCCCUGAGGGUGCCAAACAAAGGCCAGUAUGAAUGCCAGGGCUGAGGUAAGCUCCAAACUUCUAUGCCAAGCAUUCCCUGGUAAUCUUGGGAUAGUGGCCUUUGUGUGCCAAAAGCUCAAAUUCUUCUUCAUGGCUUCCUCCUCUUAGGAAGAAGACUCACUUGAACUUCCAUCAGUGCCAGAGUCUGAUGGCACAGCAGCAGCAUCUGGUGGCAGGGGCAUAGGAAGGAGGGGGCAGUGGGGGCAGGCCACCCUGGGUGUCAUCCCAGAGGGGUGUGACAAAAUCCCCCCUGGUGGAUCAUUGCCACACCACAAUUGGCCCCAUGGGUAGGUCACCCCGCCCCUGGGUGUAUGGUAUGUGCGCCACCCCACUGCUGCCUGGUGGAGGAUGAAGACUCGAUCCCACUUUCCCCACCCCUUUCCAAGGGCUCAUGGGACAGCUUUUAUCCCAUCAGCCCAUCACAUGGACAGGAUAUUGGGCAAAGCCUUGCCCAGCAUUUUACUGCAAUCUAUGGGUCCCAGCACUGCCAGGCAAAGGCGUCCCACAGUUACUGGGUGUGGAAUAAGGUUUAUUGGCAACUUUGUUUUUGCAGUUCUAGUUUAGUAAUAAAGUUUGGGAUGCUUCCAGGCAGAUUCCAACAGAGGUGCUGCCAUUUUGAUGACAUAUUUGACAUGACCACCACCAGCAGUAGUGGUGGUCAGGGGACUUGCUCAGUCUUUAAUUAGUUAAACCUGCAGUCAGGAGGGGGAAAGAAGCCAGGGUCAGGCUGCCUGCCUGUGUCUUCACUCCCUCCUUGCCACCCACCUGCCAACCUCAGGGCAGCCCUAGAUCUCUCUGGGUGGGCACAAUAUAGGGCUGCCUCAACACACUCAGGCCAAAUCCCAGCUCAACACAAGUUGGCCCCAUUUUGUCUAGAAUAUGAGAUCUGACCAGAAUCCAUGCACAGACCUAGAUUAUACAUCCCACAAUUAACUCAGGAGAGUACUAACAUGCUCCUGUGACAUUCAGAGUUGUGUGCUCUGUAUAAAUCAGCAGGUGAUGUUUUUCACAAACAUUGUCACCUGCAAUAUUUGAAGAUUCUCGAAAAGCAGAGAACAUGGCGCACAGGUAAAAAGAUGGCAAUCCUACUUGGUGAUGCUGUGUAAAUCUGUACUUUAUGCUGAAGAGCUGUCUUGCAAGGAACACAGAUGUUCAGUGAUGAUGUCAUAGCUAAAAGAGUGAGAUUUUAUGUGUACUCAAGAUCACCUAAUACGGAAGAUUCACUUUUUAAAACUACCUUGUAAUCAUGGUAGUAAAAGGGGGGCAUGAUUGUGCAACUAGGUUGAUCUAGGAGGAGAUGGUCUUUCCAAAAUCCUGGUCCUAUGUUGCUUAGAACAUUAUUAUUAUGGGUACUUUGAAUUGUGCCUGCAAAUGUACUGGCAGCCAAUGAGAUAGUUUGAGCAGUGGAAUCCCCUUCUCCAGGAAACUGGCCCUGGUCCACAGCCCGACCACAGCAUCCCAGGCUAGAUGCGGCUUCCAAAUACCGUAUUUUUCGCUCUAUAGGAUGCACUUUUUUCCCUUCAAAAAUGAAGGGAAAAUGUGUGUGCGUCCUAUGGAGCGAAGACGCCAUAGCCCCGCGACCCUCUCCCGGCUGGAGAGGUGACGCACGGCUAUGGCAGGAGCCUCUCCGCUGCGCCUUUCCGCUGCUCCCUGAACUGCUCUUUGGGGCUGGUGGUGGGCUUCCCCCCGCCAGCCCCAAAGAGCAGGUCGAGGAACCUGAAGCCUGGAGAGCGAGAGGGGUCAGUGCACACCGACCCCUCUCGCUCUCCAGGCUUCCAAGGUAGCCGCCUGAACGCACCUUAAACGGCACCUUGUUUUAGAGCGGGAAAACAAGAGGGGCAAAGUUCUUCCCCUCUCUGCCCAGCGCCUCCUGCCACUUCGCUGAAGGGGCGCUGGGCAGAGAGGGGGAGAAUUUUUUUUUCUUGUUCUCCCCCCUCUAAAACAAAGUGCGUCCUAUUGUCCGGUGCGUCCUAUGGUGCGAAAAAUACGGUACUUUUCAGAGACAGUCCCACUUUAAUGGACAAGUCCAAACUUAGUGUUCAAAUUUUAAGCAUUUCAGUGUGAUGGGAUACACAUAGGAUAUUUGCCUGGCUGAGUGAGAAACUUUUUGUGUUGUUGAUCAGCUCUGCCUGGGUGCUUCUGGCCCCAGUGAGAUGUUGAUAUGACAUGUCAGAGACAGCAGAUGCGUCCCAGAGAGAGAAGAGCAGGUUUCUUUCUCUGCAGGAACUCGAUUAUCAGCUGCUUGCCAAAGUUUAUUUCAUAUUUAGAAAGCUGGCUGCUGGCUUUAAUUGUGCUUUCUGUGGGCUUCCUGACAAUCACAGCUUUGCCUUGCCUUGUGCUUUGGGGAGUUGCCCCUUUGGGAUUUGGCACAAGGUGGAAAGUACCGUGUCCAGAUAAACACAGGUUGCCGUUAAUACCAUGUAAAAUCUAAACACUGUUUACAAUGCAGGACAGAAAAUUGCACAGCAAAGUUUAAAAUAAACUAACUAGUUGCAAUACUGAAUGUCAAGUACAAUGAUGAUCGCUGGAUCUGUGACAAUUGCUCCUAAUUGCAACUGCACACGGCAUAUGUGAUGACAAUGAGGGCUCUCCAUCAAUUAUCUCUAAUUGCAGGGUCUUGACGUGGCUUUUGCUCUGGGGAGAUGCCCCUUGGAGAGGUGCUCCAGGUGGCAAGAGCAGCAUUCAGUUAGACAGUUUGACACUAGGGCACUUGCCAAGGCAGAAAGGAACUUUGAUUUAAUGUAGAUCAGAAAAUCCUUUUAUGAAGGAUUGCCAACCUAGAUCAUGGUCUCUUCUAAUCCAGCUAGGCCAUUCCUACAGUGACAAAAGUGCUUUAUGUGUGUGCAAAAGACCAAAAUCAUCUGCCCUGAAAUGUGGGGUUCUGUUGCUUUAAUGCAUUAGGCCAAGGCUGGGGAAGCAGCCCCAGGGACUGAACUGGACUCUGUCUGGUCCUCUCCCCAGGCCACAACCCUCAUGGGCCCUGAUUCACAGGCUGUAUCCAAUGCUAGUUAUACUUAGAGUAGACCCAGUCCCAAAAAUGAGCAUUAUCUUCAGUGGGUCUAAGCAGACCUACUAGCAUUAGAUACAAUCCUGAGUGUUUCUGGCUGGACAGUUCAGAGCUGUCAGGGCUCAUCUUGGACUGGCAGGCUCAGUUGGAGCAGACAGGGGGUGAACUGUCAUAAAUUGGAUUAGAGGUGGAGGGGGGACCUCUCCUUCACACCCCAACAUCGACUGACUUGCAGGAAGCUCAAUUGUACUUGGUUACAUCAUCCCCCCCCUCCCAUUCCUGCUGAGAACUGGCUGGCAUGGCCAAACCCUGCAGAAAGCAAGAUUAUACUUUCAAUCCUGCUUGGUUUGGGUGUGCCAAUGAGUCCCACCUGGGAACUGGCUGGCUCUUCUAAAUCCUGCAGAAAGUGGGACACACACACACACACACACACACACCGUGCCACAGCUGAUGUGAAAGAGAUCAAUCCCUCCUUAUUCUGAGUACGUGGAGGGCUGAGUUUUCCCUUUGGGUUGCAGACUCUUGCAUUGGAUAGAGUGGCUGGGAAUGGAAAUUAUCCCUGCCCCAAAUAAUGAUGAAGUUGAUGGUGCUUCUCAUGUGGGUGUUGCAGUAGCUCGUGUGCCCUAAGUUCAGAGUAUGAGAAAGUGCUUGCUGUUCUUGGGGAAAUUUCAGCACCUAACCCUGGACAGCUACCUUAGCCUUGAGGUGCCAGUGAGUCCCCAUAGAAAAUUGGCUGGUGUACCCUAACCCCGCAGAAUGAAGGACAGAAGUGCACAUGGGCCAAUGUGUGUGUGGGGGGGAGUUUAAUCCUGCUUUGGCAAUAUGUUCCCCCACCAUCCUGGGCUAGCAUUAAUUUGUGGCCCGGAGAGUCCAUUUGGCAAUCAUGCGGCAUCCUUAUGAUGUCAGAUAAUUGGCAGAUGGGUGGGACCUCCCCUGGACUGCUGUUGAAUGCAGGGGUAGAAUGAACUGCUGCCAACCAGAUGUGGCAAAGAGGCUGAAUUUAAGAAAAGAGUUUGUUUUAACUAUGUUAUGAGGAAGAACUCCAGAGCAGAAUUUUAAUGGCAUUUGCAUAUGCAUUCUGUGAGUUAUUUAUGGCUGCAGCUCGUACGCUGAUCGGUAAACAUUAUACCAUCCAUAUAAACACUGCAAAUAAUUGAACAGUGGAAGAUAGUCAUUAACUCUGCCCACACACAAGGCCUGGAACCACAAUGUAUAUGAAGGACUAGACAUACGUCAAAGGGAUUACUUUUUUAUAAGAUGUAACGGUGGUGCCAUUUGCAAGGUGAAAAAAGCGGCCAGCUGGAAGAAUGGUUUAACAGCAAGUGAAGGGUGUCAACUGGACCUAAGUAAGAAAUGAUGCGGCAAUGUGAGGAAAUGAUGAUGAUCAUACGUUGAAACAGGAGUGGGAAACCUGAUUUUAAGAAAUUGUAUUAAAUUAAUUUGGUUUGAUUUGAUUUGUAAUAAUUAAUAAAAAUAAUUCAGAGGGAAAUAAAUUAUAACAGACCAUGACAGGGUUAGCAGGCCAAAGUGGUAAAAUAAAGUUUUGGUUUAUAACAUUUCAAACUCCAUAUAGGCUGUUUUAUGCUCAUCACCCAUGGGAUGGGGGAUAAUCCACAGAUAAAUUCACAUAUCAAGGGCACAAUUCUGGACUAACUUUUCACUGGCAUAUUAUUUUAUAAAUGCUGGAUUUUAUUUUGUAUGGCCACCUGGAAAUUGGGGCAUGCUCUAUGUAUUGCAAUCUAACCUCCCAAGGGAUAGUAGUGAAUGUGGAGUACAAGGAGAUUAUCCGUUUUAAUGCUGGUUUCACCAUACUAGAUGGAAGAAGCUCACAUUGAUGUAUCAGUCUGCUUGAAGACUGGCCACACUCAAUAUUAAGUAGUUUUAGUGAUUCUAAACCACUUCCCAAGUUAGGGAAACUGUUGCAAAGACUGAGUCACCUAACCUCAAUUUCUGGUUUUAUUCAAAAUUCUAGCCUCUUUAAUAUUANNNNNNNNNNNNNNNNNNNNNNNNNNNNNNNNNNNNNNNNNNNNNNNNNNNNNNNNNNNNNNNNNNNNNNNNNNNNNNNNNNNNNNNNNNNNNNNNNNNNGAUGUCAGAGCUGGCUCCAGGUCCCAGCUCACAGAGGACCAACGCUAGCCGGCAGUAAUGUGCAAAAGUCUUUAUUGAAGUACAGUUUCCAUUUUCAAGCCGGAGCGCCCCAGCUCUACGUCUAGGGGUUAGAUCGGCGAAGCUCCAUCUGAGUCUCCGCCCCCUGUACACCAGUUUAAGAUUCUAGCCUUACUCCACCUCUUACGUCUCUCCUUUCUCCUCUGGGUCCUGCUACCCCCCGGGGUCCCUUCCUUCCUGGAUUCUUCUGACGCUGACCCUCCUGACUCCUCCCCCCUCUUUUCGGCGGGCUUUGGGACCUGGCUCCCUAUCCGGGCUGCCAACUGCGCCGCCCUCCUGUACAUUUGAACUUGGCGCGCGCGCCCAGCCUUCAACCUUCCUCUCGACCGUUUCCUCGCUCCCCGAUGGAGGCGUGGCCAAUCCUGACUCAUGUCCUCCCACUGGCAGUGCGCCGCCUGAUCCCGAUGCCUGGGACUCCUCCCCCCUACUGCACUCUGGUGUGGACGCUGGUCCUGAUUUCCAACUGCUGCUCUCUGAGUCCCCUCUGGCCCCUUCUUCCUGGGGUGUCCCCUCGGCACCCCCUUGCUCUGACCAAGGGAGCCCCUUUCUGUGAAUCUUCCGAUUCGCUGGAAAGACUCAGAGACCUCGGACCGCUGUCAUCGCUAACAUUUCCUUCGGACUCCUCCCCCUCGCUCUCUAUUUCCUCCCUUUCCUGUGCCUCUGCUCCUGAACCCCUGACAUAUGAUACCAGUUGACUUCCCAAACAUAAUUAACUGGCAGCCCACACAGCCUGUAUUGCAACAGAUCAGUCCUGAUGUAACCAAGUUAUGUCUCACCAGGACCAUAUUUGUAUAUGAAAUAUACAGGGGUAACUCGGGUUAAGAACUUAAUUCAUUCUGGAGGUCCAUUUUUAAACUGAAACUGUUCUUAACCUGAGGUACCACUUUAGCUAAUGCAGCCUCCUGCUGCCGCCGCGCAAUUUCUGUUCUCAUCCUGAAGCAAAGUUCUUAACCCAAGGUACUAUUUCUGGGUUAGCAAAGUCUGUAACCUGAAGCAUCUGUAACCCGAGGUACCACUGUACAUGAUUUUGUCUGUGACUGAUUCCGCUCUUUCCUUGGCCAGAGGUAGCCUGCAUCUACCAGGGCAUGUCUCUUCCUCUUCAAAGGAGAAAAUAACACUUGCAGGGUUGUUGUUUUUGUUAAUGGACAUAUAAACUGUUUUGUCACGUUAUUUGUUGUUGUUUAGGUGUGUCGGCCUCUUCAUGACCCUAUGGACCAGAGCACGCCAGGCCCUCCUGUCUUCCACUGCCUCCCACACUUUGGUCAAACUCAUGUUAGUCGCUUUGAGAACACUGUCCAACCAUCUUGUCCUCUGUCAUCCCCUUCUCCUUGCGCCCUCCAUCUUUCUGAACAUCAGGGUCUUUUCCAGGGAGUCUUCUCUUCUCAUGAGAUGGCCAAAGUAUUGGAGCCUCAGCUUCAGGAUCUGUCCUUCCAGUGAGCAUUCAGGGCUGAUUUCCUUCAGAAUGGAUAGGUUUGUUCUUCUUGCAAUCCAUGGGACUCUCAAGAGUCUCCUCCAGCACCAGAAUUCAAAAGCAUCAAUUCUUCGGCGAUCAGCCUUCUUGAUGGUCCAGCUCUCACUUCCAUACAUCACUACUGGAAAAACCAUAGCUUUAACUACAUGGACCUUUGUCGGCCAGGUGAUGUCUCUCCUUUUUAAGAUGCUGUCUAGGUUUGCCAUUGCUUUUCUCCCAAAAAGCAGCUUUCGUGCCUACUGUUACCAUCUGCAGUGAUCAUGUAGCCCAAGAAAGUAAAAUCUCUCACUGCCUCCAUUUCUUCCCCUUCUAUUUGCCAGAAGGUGAUGGAACCAGUGGCCAUGAUCUUCAUUUUUUUGAUGUUGAGCUUCAGACCAUAUUUUGCGCUCUCCUCUUUCACCCUCAUUAAAAGGUUCUUUAAUUCCUCCUCACUUUCUGCCAUCAAGAUUGUGUCAUGUGCAGAUCUGAGGUUGUUGAUAUUUCUUCCAGCAAUCUUAAUUCCGGUUUGGGAUUCAUCCAGUCCAGCCUUUUGCAUGCUGAAUUCCGCAUAUAAAGACUCUCCUCCUGCAAAAGAGGGGAGUGGUUGUGGGUGGGAGCCGGUCCCCGCCUCAAGCAGGGGGUGUUAGCCCCCUGCCUCCCACUCACCUGGCUGGCGCCCACGCCCACGGGCAGGCACCCAACCAGGUGCCUUCGAGGGGGCGUGGACGGCAGCGUAAAUUGCUGCUGUGCCAGCCACCUGGCCUCACUCUUCGUCGUCCCGUCGCGAGUCAACAGGUUCGUCUCCUUUGCAGCUGGAAGCCAGGGAAGUAUUCGCGAGCUUCGGAGUUGGGGGGGAGCGUGCGUGAGCUGGUUAUCCACUUCGCGUAUUGGCUUGUCUUUCGUCGUUAGGUAUUGGCCGCAUUUAGCUUAUUUCGUCCUUCAGGGUAUCGGCUUUCAUUAUCCGUGUGUGGCAAUAGUUGCUUUAGUUGCCUCUCCUUUUAAAUUUGCGAGUAAUAACCCCCCCUUCUCCUCCCACACUCCUCCCUUUUGCUGUUUAUAUUUUGUGAUUUCCCGCGCUCUACUACAUCAGCACUAGUCAUUUUCCCCUUUUUGAGCAGCGCAACCUCGUGUUCGCCACUGUGUGUGUGAUCUGGGUGAGUGCGUGGCUGCUCGCGCUCAGACACGGCAGUGCUCCUAAGUCCUUCACGUUUUUCAGGGCAGUCCGACCUUGGGGACGCCCUAAUCUUGGGUUGCCACCUGGAGUGCGAGUUUCCUGGUUUUCGAGGCGAAGCAUGCGUUGGGAGGAGCUUAUGCCAUUGCUGAGAGAGACAGUUGCCGCGUUUGGCCCUCCUGACAUCCUUAUCCUUCAAUUGGGGGGAAAUGACCUUGUUAGCAGAAGAAGUGCGGACUUGUCGUGGAACAUAAAAAGAGAUUUGGAUGAGAUUGCUGCUUUGUGUCCCGAAACAACGGUGUUCUGGUCCUCCUUCCUGAAGAGAAUUGUUUGGCGCGGUGCGCAGAACUGUAUGGCCAUAGAAAAAUCCAGGAAACUCUUAAAUCGCGCAAUAGCUUAUUGGGUACGCUUUAUGAAUAGCCGAGUCAUUUCUCAUGACCGUAUCCGGAUUGGCGAUCAGGCCUUGUACCGGAAUGAUGGGGUUCAUCUUUCAGACAAAGGGAAUGAUAUUUGGUUAAGGAGCAUCGUCAGCAGCAUCAGGGAUUGGUUACAGCUGUGAGGGUAUUGGCGGCGAGCCUUUUGGGCUCAGGUGGCGGUUAGGCAUUGGAAUAAUGUGUUGUGGUGUGUGGAAGGACUAGGUGUGGCCAUCGCCUACGCCUUCAAUUUUUGGGUAUUCCGUUAAAGGAAUCCGGCGGUCGUGUAUUCUGUCCGAUGCCUGCGUGGCGGGGGGCCAUGGCACGACCCUCGGUGACAUCAGGGGAGAGCUUAUAGUUGGAUUAGCAUCAACAGGCUCCACCUACUGGUGAAUAAACCCCCCUUUUAGACUCACCCCUCUCCGAGUGGGUGGAGUCAACUGACGUAAGCCAAUGCCUAAGCCAAUACCUUUUCACUUGCUGUAAUCAAUAAAGUUGUGGCCUUUUCUUGCCCAUUAACCUUAUAUCAUGUGUCCUUGUGUUUUCAUUCCACUAUGCGGGGAUCGGGUCCUCGAACCACAAGUUAAAUAAACAGGGAGACACUAUACAGCCUUGUCGUACUCUUUUCCCAAUUUUGAACCAAUCAGUUGUUCCAUAUCCAGUUCUAACUGUAGCUUCUUUCUCAGGAGACAGAUGAGGUGAUCAGACACUCCCAUUUCUUUAAGAACUUGCCAUAGUUUGCUGUGGUCGACACAGUCAAAGGCUUUUGCAUAGUCAAUGAAGCAGAAGUAGAUGUCUUUCUGGAACUCUCUAGCUUUCUCCAUAAUCCAGCGCAUGUUUGCAAUUUGGUCUCUGGUUCCUCUGUCGCCUUAUUGUGACACCUCAAAAGUUACCAAUCCGCUGAGGAUGUGAUUAUCUCACAAAUCAUUGUCAAAAUUACUGCUUUCCUUCCUGAAUCUCAGUAGAUUUCCAGAGUCCACUAACAAGAUCAACAAUAACAGCAUGUGGAAAUACUAUAAACUCCGCAUGUUGUUCAUAAAUGGUGCUGGGGUUACAAAGUGCUCGGUCUUUUGCCCAAUCAUUUCUCCCUUAUAUGUUAGGGUGUGCUUUGGCCAGCUGAUUCUGCUAUGAUCUAAAACAAAAAGACUGCACAGUGAGUAAUUAUGUGCCCCAUUCCGUCUUUUUUUGCAGCUAACCAUCCAGUUUGAAGAUAACACAUCUCCAAUCUAGGCACGUACAUCUUAGUGCCCCCCAUGUUAUUUUGGACUAGUGUUUUGUAAUACUUUUCAUACUGGUCAUUCUUCUGCUACUUCCAUAUUUUGCAAGGCGGGGAUUGGAACAUUUUUGCCCAUUUGAAAGGGUCUCGGUGUGGAGACCAGGCUUUCAAUCUGUACAUGCUGAGUCCUCCGCCAUUCAUGAAAGCCUGCAACGAAACUCAUGCUUCCAGAGAAUGCAUCAAGGGGAGAAUGCAAACUGUGGUCGUCUCCGUCCUGAGGACACAUUUGCUCUCCAGGAUCACAGCAGCAAUCGUGCUGCUUCUUGUCAUGCUCCCUUAUAGCGUGGGCAAGGUGCAUUCUAUUAAUUGCAGCAUAUAUGACGAUCCUCUGCCUAUACCUCACAAAUAUUAUCAGCCGGGUGAUUUUGUCAUUGGAGAGAUUGUUUCUCAGGUCUUCCUCUUUCAAGACAGUCCCUCGUUCACAGAAGUGCCCACGCAGAUGUCCAUUGGUGAACCUGUGUAAGGAACCCUUUAUUUCCCCCAUGUCUUCUGUUACCUUAGACUAUAAUGUGGUUUGAUGCUUCAUUAGUAAGAUUCACUUUUCAGUGUGAGGAAAGCUGUAUUCCAGCAGUUACGAGUGCUGAACAAUUAUUCUGCCUGCCUCUUAUGAGAAUUUUCGUGCCCAAGGCUGAUGGAUGUGAAUGGAGCUUCUGAGAUAUCUCUAGAACAAGACAACAGUGAAUCGUGACCUUAGUGAGUCUUUGAGACACCAGUCAACCAUUAGUUGACUCUUGCCUUUAGCUUCAGCUAUCUCUUCCAUUCACAUCAGUCCAUAUGGGUGUUUUUUAAAAAAGAAAUGAUUCAUUUCAUAAGAUUAUAUUGUACAAUACUGUAAUAUAUGAGAAUCAUAGAAUCUUACAGCUGGAAGGGACCCAAUGGUCAUCUAGUCCAACCUCCCUGCAAGGCAGGAGUCUCAGCUACUCUCAGCUAGUAUUUUGUAGUUUUCACCCCAGCAAUGUUCCCUGACUGAGUGCAGGUCCAGUCACACAGAAUGGAGGCAGAAACGCUGGCCUGAUAUGGAAAGCAAAUUCUACGUUGCAGAGCAUAUUCUCUACCAUGGAGCUACAACCAUUUUCAGACACUUAUUUCCAUAUUUCGUUAAUCCUUUCCCUAUCUAACCCUUAUCUUCAUGUCUUCAUAAUGUUUUAAACUUCAGCUCAAUCAUGAAAGUAGUUGGUGGUGUGAUGCUGUAAUCAAGAUAUGCCUUUGCCUUUCAGACAACAUUCCACAGUAUGCUGGACUAGAUCCUGGCACCAUGAUGCAGGUUAGCCACCCCUGGUCUAGAUCUACUGUAUUAGUUCCCCGUAAUGUAGUAGGCAAUGACUCUUUACUCAGAAUCUUUUCAUACAGAGGACAAAGUGUUUUAAGCAAUCUUCUUUUAUAUUUCAUCUAAAAGGACCUGCUAAUAGAUUAUAUCCUGCAAUAACUGUAUUCUAUAUCCCAGCAUUUUCAGACUUUUUAAAGUUCCAGCUCAACCAUGAGCGUAGUCAGAGGUGUAACAAUGAAAGCAAGAAAUGGCCUUUCCUUUGCCUCAUGAAACAGACAGUAACUGUCAUCCCAGGUCUGUUCCUAAGAACUACCAGCACAUCCUGGCUUUGCUGCUUGCUGUCAAAGAGAUCAAUGAGAAUCCCCAAAUCCUACCCAACAUCUCUUUGGGCUUCCACAUCCUCAACAGCUACUAUGUGGCAAGGAAGACAUACAAAGCCAGCCUGAGCCUCCUUUCCACACAACACAGGUUUGUUCCCAACUACAAGUGUGAUAUUCAG